CUGCACCACUCCGACACCAAUGCAGUCACCAAGUACAUUGGCAGCAGUCCUUAAACGAUCCCUAUCAACAAAAAGACAGUAACAUCUGAGAGUCGACCAUGAGGAGCAGUGAUAUGUCUUCAGUGGGCAGUCCUGUCGAGCUCAACACAAUCAGCAUGGAUACCAUGCCAGCCUGUGGGAUACCAGCUGCACCUGUGCUUGCUGCUGUAACAACCAAACUGAACAAAAUAAAGCAGUGUCAACAAAUUCCCUUCAAAGUACCUGAGAACGAUAAUCUGUCCGACAUUGAAGUCCAUGUCGUUGACCUGGG